GUGUCAGCAGCCGCGGUAAUACAGAGGGUGCAAGCGUUGCUCGGAUUUACUGGGCGUAAAGCGUACGCAGACGGUGAGGAAGGUCGGAUGUGAAAGCCCUGGGCUCAACCCAGGAACUGCAUCCGAAACCCCCUCGCUAGAGUAUAGGAGAGGGAAGCGGAAUUCCUGGUGUAGAGGUGAAAUUCGUAGAUAUCAGGAGGAACAUCUGCGGCGAAGGCGGCUUCCUGGCCUAUUACUGACGUUCAGGUACGAAAGCGUGGGUAGCAAACAGGAUUAGAUACCCUGGUAGUCC
rnacentral:rRNA from 1 species